UCUUUCCUAUUUUUUCCUUUUCCUGCCCUCACUAUCUACAGCUCCUUCAGGUUUUAUCCGUCUUGUAGUCCAUUUGGAGUUUACUGAGCUUUUUUCACCUUCCUUCUUAUUCCCAAGGUUCUAAAUUUUCUGGUGUGUUUCUAUAGAUUUUACAGUGGCUCUAUCUUGUUUGGAUGUUAUGUUGCUGGAUAGCUUGUAUGAUGUCCAUGAACUGUUUGAUCAAUUGUCAAUUUAGUUGCACCGAGGCUAGUCUCGUUGGUGACAGUGGUUGUACUGAGAUGUGGUUCAAAGUAUGGGAUAAAAUAUCAACCUGUGGUUUGAAGCUCCACCAUCAUUACUACCAGUUCAUUGGUUCCACGAGAGUCAGCGAGUCUUGGUGGAGAAAGCUCCUUCUUUCAUGGGUGAUUUGUUGGACUGUGGUUUCUAUUUGGAUCUUCUGUUAUAUGAACUCUCAAGCUACCGAGAAGAGGAAGGAGACACUCGCUAGCAUGUGCGAUGAGAGAGCUCGGAUGUUGCAGGAUCAAUUUAAUGUAAGCAUGAACCAUAUCCAGGCCAUGUCGAUUUUGAUCUCGACUUUCCAACAUGGCAAAAAUCCUUCUGCUAUUGAUCAGACAACUUUUGCGAGGUACACGGAGCGAACUGCUUUUGAGAGGCCCCUCACUAGUGGCGUGGCAUAUGCUGUAAGGGUGCCCCACUCUGAAAGGGAACAAUUUGAGAAGCAUCAAGGCUGGACUAUUAAGAGGAUGGAUACACUUGAACAAAAUCCAGUUCAUAAGGACGACUAUAAUCCCGAUCUCUUGGAACCAUCACCUGUUCAGGAAGAAUAUGUGCCUGUUAUCUUUGCACAGGAUAUCAUAUCACAUGUGAUUUCUAUGGAUCUGUUGUCAGGAAAGGAAGAUCGCGAGAAUGUACUGCGUGCAAGCAAAUCAGGAAAGGGGGUGCUGACAGCUCCUUUUAGGUUGCUCAAAACAAAUUGUCUUGGAGUUAUUUUGACAUUUGCAGUCUACAACAGGGAUCUUCCCUUGAAUGCAACUCCUAAUGAAAGGGUUCAAGCAACUGAUGGGUAUCUUGGUGGAGUCUUCGAUGUUGAGUCACUCGUGGAGAAGUUGCUACACCAGCUUGCAAGUAAACAAACUAUCCUCGUUAAUGUGUUGGACACGACCAAUCAGUCUCACCCUAUCAGUAUGUAUGGCUCAAAUGCAUCAGAUGACGGGUUGGAGCUUGUCAGCUACCUUAAUUUCGGAGAUCCUUUCAGAAAGCAUGAGAUGCACUGCAGGUUUAAACAAAAGCCACCGUGGCCAUGGUUAGCAAUAACUACUUCAAUUGGCAUCCUUGUGAUUGCAUUACUUGUUGGGCAUAUAUUCCAUGCAACUGUUAAUCGGAUUGCGAAGGUGGAAGAUGAUUGCAAUAAGAUGAUGGAGCUCACAAAACAGGCUGAGGCAGCUGAUGUGGCCAAAUCUCAGUUCCUUGCUACUGUUUCCCAUGAGAUUAGAACCCCGAUGAAUGGUGUUCUGGGAAUGUUGCAUAUGCUUAUGGUCACGGAUUUAGAUGUUAGACAACUAGAUUAUGUCAGAACUGCACAAGCUAGUGGAAAGGCUCUGGUUACACUUAUAAACGAGGUUUUGGAUCAGGCUAAGAUCGAAUCUGGUAACCUAGAGCCAGAAGGAGUGCAGUUUGAUCUACGAGCAGUCUUGGACGACGUGUUAUCGCUAUUUUCGGGGAAGGCUCAGGACAAAGGAGUCGAGCUGGCAGUUUACGUUUAUGAUCGAGUUCCUGAGAUGCUAAUUGGUGAUCCUGGGAGAUUCAGACAAAUAAUCACCAAUCUAAUGGGAAACUCAAUUAAAUUCACUGAGAAAGGGCACAUCCAUGUUACAGUUCAUCUCGUGGAAGAGGUAAUUGAUUCAAUAGAAGUUGAGACAAAAUUGUUGCCAAAGAAUACCUUGAGUGGCUUCCCAGUUGCGGAUAGACGGCAGAGCUGGAAAGGGUUUAGAACUUUCAGUCAAGAAGAAUCCAUUCAUCCUCUCUCUGACAGCAUUCAUCUUAUCGUAUCAGUUGAAGAUACAGGAGAAGGAAUCCCUAUAGAAGCACAACCUCGUGUUUUCACACCUUUUAUGCAAGUUGGCCCUUCUAUAUCCCGAACACAUGGGGGCACGGGCAUUGGACUAAGCAUAAGCAAGUGUUUGGUUAGUCUAAUGAAAGGAGAAAUCAGUUUUGUUAGUAUUCCUAAGAUUGGUUCCACCUUUACCUUUACUGCUGUUUUCACUAGCAGCUCCUCUAGUUCAAAGGAGUACAAGAGUCAGCAAAUCAACAACCAUACCAACUCAGUAUCCUCUGAGUUUCGUGGGAUGAGAGCAUUAGUUGUGGAUCCUAGACCUGUCCGGGCCAAAGUGUCGAGAUAUCAUAUCCAGAGGCUGGGAAUUCAUGUUGAAGUAGUUUCCACUUUUAAACAAGGUUUAUCUAUUAUAAGCCAGAGGAGUAAUGUUACACACAUGGUUCUCAUUGAACAGGAGGUUUGGGAUCGAGAUCUAAACAGUUCGUCUCUCUUCAUCAAUAACUUGGAGAAAAUAGAUCUUAGUACUUCUCCAAAGGUAUUCCUUUUGUCUAAUUCUAUCAGAUCUUCCCGAGCAAAUCCUACUACUUCUGGUGUUUGUAACUUGACCGUCAUCCCGAAGCCCUUGAGGGCUAGCAUGUUAGCGGCAUCUCUACAACGAGCCAUGGAUGAUGGGAACAAAGGGAAUCCAUGUUAUGGGGAGUUACCUAGUCUGUCUCUUAGGAGUCUUCUUCUCGGGAGAAAAAUUCUAAUUGUAGAUGACAACAAUGUGAACCUAAAAGUAGCUGCUGGUGCCUUGAAAAAAUACGGAGCUGAUGUGGUUAGCUCUUCAAGUGGGAUGGAAGCUAUUGAAUUGCUUACACCACCUCACCAAUUCGAUGCCUGUUUCAUGGAUAUUCAAAUGCCUGAAAUGGAUGGGUUUGAAGCUACAAAGAGAAUUCGGGAUUCAGAACAGAAUAUCAAUAAUCGUAUCCAUUUUGGAGAAUUAUCGGUCCAAACUUGUAAUAAUGUUUUGAACUGGCAUGUACCAAUUCUGGCUAUGACCGCAGAUGUUAUCCGGGCCACGCACGAGGAAUGCCUACGGUGCGGAAUGGACGGAUAUGUGUCAAAACCAUUUGAAGCUGAGCAAUUAUACCAGGAAGUUUCACGAUUUUUCCAUUAGGCAUUAGAUCAGAAUCUGUUGGAAAGGACUUCUGCUUACAACAUGCCAAUGGUAUCGAUACGGCUGCCUCUUCUUUGGCAUGCUUUGAGACACUUCAAUAAGUUCCAUUUCUUUCCAAGAGAUUGUCGGACUGUGCCAGUGUAUAUAAAGCCAUGCUCGGAUAUCAUAUUUUCUUGUAAUUUACAGUACAGAUAGCAAAGCUUUCUCAAUCUUUUUCCUUUUUUGCCGGUAAAGCUGGCCUUUCAGCAGGGUUGGUGAAUUGAGAUUUCUGUGCAGUAAAA